rnacentral:rRNA from 1 species
AUGAUCGGAUUGAAGCCCAAAAAAGGCGGGCAGCUUGCAUUGGAUGACGACCCAGCAAAACAGAAACGGCCUCCCAUCCAUGCAUCGUCCCAGCUCACGCUUUGCCUUCCUUCCUUAAUUUGGCACCACGAGAUAACAACAGCCAGCCAUCGAAACCACCUGCAAUGCAACCCCGUACCGUUGCACGAGGGAUCUAGCUGCCAUUCCUCUCGGUCUCCGGCGUCCGGCCACCGCACGCCGAUGGGCUUCGCGAGCCGCCCUAAUAAGGUCGACGGCCCGCCGAGCCGGACCAGCAGCGUGGCCUCCUCCGGCACCACGCCCGCGCCCAGCACCAGCGCCAGCGCCCGAACCUCCUCCAUCUCCAGCGAUGACGCCAAUAACGGCGCACGCCCAGGACAGUCCCCGGCGCGCGGCGCCCCGGGCCACACGCUGGAGGCGCCGUCGCGGAAGAACCGGCCCGGACGUAGCCCCUCCCGGCCGCUGCAGCUGUUCCAGAAGCUUCGCCGCGCGCUCCCCAUCCUGGCGCCCCGGUGCGGGAGGACGCCGGCGGGCUCCUCCUCGGGCACCGCCGACUCGCACCUCAUGUCGCGGCACGUCGCGUCGGGCGGCGGGAGGCGGCCGUGCCGGCGCGUCACGGGCACGCUGUUCGGCCGCCGCAAGGGCCGCGUCGCGCUGGCGCUGCAGGAGACGCCCCGGAGCCUGCCCAGCCUGGUGGUGGAGCUGGCGCUCCAGACGCACGCGCUGCUCCGCGAGCUCGGCAACCCCGCCGGCGCGCGCAUCGUGCUGGAGACCGAGCGCCGCCGCGGCGGCGAGGGGCCUAAGCGCGCGCCGCCGCUGCUGGACGAGGCUGCGUGGACCAUGUUCUGCAACGGGAGGAAGACCGGGUACGCGGUGCGGCGGGAGGCGACGGACUACGACCUGACGGUGAUGGAGACGCUGCGGGCGGUGUCCAUGGGCGCCGGCGUGCUCCCGGUCCCGGCUGGAGGUGGAGCUGGGGGUGGGGGCUCGGGGUCGGCGCCGGACGACGAGGUGGCGUACAUGCGCGGCUGCUUCGAGCACUUGGUGGGGUCGUGGGACUCGGAGUCGCUCUACAUGGUGACGCCCCAGGGCGGCGGCACCGGCCCGGAGCUCGCCGUCUUCUUCGUCAGGCUCUGA